GACGAACGCUGGCGGCGUGCUUAACACAUGCAAGUCGAACGGAAAGGCCCUGCUUUUGUGGGGUGCUCGAGUGGCGAACGGGUGAGUAACACGUGAGUAACCUGCCCUUGACUUUGGGAUAACUUCAGGAAACUGGGGCUAAUACCGGAUAGGUGCUCCUGCUGCAUGGUGGGGGUUGGAAAGUUUCGGCGGUUGGGGAUGGACUCGCGGCUUAUCAGCUUGUUGGUGGGGUAGUGGCUUACCAAGGCUUUGACGGGUAGCCGGCCUGGGAGGGUGACCGGCGACAAUGGGACUGAGAGACGGCCCAGACGCCUACGGGAGGCAGCAGUGGGGAAUAUUGCACAAUGGGCGGAAGCCUGAUGAAGAAACGCCGCGUGCGGGAUGACGGCCUUCGGGUUGGAAACCGCUUUCGCCUGUGACGAAGCGUGAGUGACGGUAAUGGGUAAAGAAGCACCGGCUAACUACGUG
rnacentral:rRNA from 1 species